rnacentral:rRNA from 1 species
AACGUUCCCCUGUUGCGGGGAGCGUGGCGUACGGCUCAGUAACACGUAGUCAACUGCCCUAGAGACACAGACAACCCCGGGAAACUGGGAUUAAUCCGUGAUAGGUCAUCUCAUCUGGAAGGAGAGAUGGCUUAAAGGGGUGCGAGAGCUUCUUUCUUGUACUCGCUCUAGGAUGGGACUGCGGCCGAUCAGGCUGUUGGUGGGGUAAUGGCCCACCAAACCUGUAACCGGUACGGGCCUUGAGAGAGGUGGCCCGGAGAUGGACACUGAGAGAAGGGUCCAGGUCCUACGGGGUGCAGCAGGCGCGAAACCUUCGCAAUGCGCGAAAGCGUGACGAGGUUAAUCCGAGUGGUCUCCGCUGAGGAGAUCUUUUGUCAGCUGUAAAUAGGCAGGCGAAUAAGGGGAGGGCAAGCCUGGUGUCAGCCGCCGCGGUAAUACCAGCUCCUCGAGUGGUCGGGGCGAUUAUUGGGCCUAAAGCAUCCGUAGCCGGUUCCGUAGGUCCUCUGUUAAAUCCAACCGCUUAACGGUUGACCUGCAGAGGAUACCGCGGGACUAGGAGGCGGGAGAGGCGGACGGUACUCCGCGUGUAGGGGUAAAAUCCUUUGAUCCGCGGAAGACCACCAGUGGCGAAGGCGGUCCGCCAGAACGCGCUCGACGGUGAGGGAUGAAAGCUGGGGGAGCGAACCGGAUUAGAUACCCGGGUAGUCCCAGCCGUAAACGAUGCUAGCUAGAUGAUUCAUUCGCAAGUCGCGAAUGAAGUGUCGCAGGGAAGCCGUUAAGCUAGCCGCCUGGGGAGUACGGUCGCAAGACUGAAACUUAAAGGAAUUGGCGGG